rnacentral:rRNA from 1 species
AUUGAACGCUGGCGGCAUGCUUUACACAUGCAAGUCGAACGGUAACAGGCCACAAGGUGCUGACGAGUGGCGAACGGGUGAGUAAUGCAUCGGAACGUGCCCAGUCGUGGGGAUAACGCAGCGAAAGCUGCGCUAAUACCGCAUACGAUCUCUGGAUGAAAGCGGGGGACCGAAAGGCCCCGCGCGAUUGGAGCGGCCGAUGUCAGAUUAGGUAGUUGGUGGGGUAAAGGCUCACCAAGCCAACGAUCUGUAGCUGGUCUGAGAGGACGACCAGCCACACUGGGACUGAGACACGGCCCAGACUCCUACGGGAGGCAGCAGUGGGGAAUUUUGGACAAUGGGCGCAAGCCUGAUCCAGCAAUGCCGCGUGCAGGAAGAAGGCCUUCGGGUUGUAAACUGCUUUUGUACGGAACGAAACGGUUCUGGUUAAUACCUGGGGCUAAUGACGGUACCGUAAGAAUAAGCACCGGCUAACUACGUGCCAGCAGCCGCCGUAA